CCUACGGGAGGCAGCAGUAGGGAAUUUUCGGCAAUGGGGGGAACCCUGACCGAGCAACGCCGCGUGAACGAAGAAGUUAUUCGUAAUGUAAAGUUCUUUUAACAGGGAAGAAAGAGAAAUUUGACGGUACCUGAAGAAUAAGCUCCGGCUAACUACGUGCCAGCAGCCGCGGUAAUACGUAGGGAGCGAGCGUUAUCCGGAAUUAUUGGGCGAAAAGGGUGCGUAGAUGGCAUAGUAAGUCUUUUGUAAAAAUGCUGGGCUCAACCCAGUAGGGCAAAAGAUACUGCAAGGCUAGAGUAUGACAGAGGCAAGUGGAAAUACAUGUGUAGCGGUAAAAUGCGUAAAUAUAUGUAAGAACACCAGUGGCGAAGGCGGCUUGCUGGGUCGAUACUGACAUUGAGGCACGAAAGCGUGGGGAGCAAACAGGAUUAGAUACCCGUGUAGUC
rnacentral:rRNA from 1 species